rnacentral:rRNA from 1 species
UACGGGGGGUGCAAGCGUUAAUCGGAAUUACUGGGCGUAAAGAGCGCGCAGGCGGUCGUUCAAGUCGCGUGUGAAAGCCCCCGGCUCAACUGGGGAGGGUCACGCGAUACUGAUCGACUCGAAGGCAGGAGAGGGAAGUGGAAUUCCCGGUGUAGUGGUGAAAUGCGUAGAUAUCGGGAGGAACACCAGUGGCGAAGGCGACUUCCUGGCCUGUUCUUGACGCUGAGGCGCGAAAGCUAGGGGAGCAAACGGG